rnacentral:rRNA from 1 species
GACGAACGCUGGCGGCGUGCCUAAUACAUGCAAGUAGAACGCAGUUGCGAACGGGUGAGUAACGCGUAGGUGAGUGCCUAUAAGAGGGGGAUAAAUAUUGGAAACGAUAGCUAAUACCGCAUACUAGUCGAUGGACCUGCGUUGUGUUAGCUAGUAGGUAGGGUAAUGGCCUACCUAGGCGACGGUACAUAGCCGACCUGGGAGGGGUGACGGGCAAACCGGGACCUAGAAACGGGCCAGACUCCUACGGGAGGCAGCAAGAGGGGAUCUUCGGCAAUUGGGGGAACCCUGACCGCGCAACGCCGCGUGAGUGAAGAAGGUUUUCGGAUCGUAAAGCUCUGUUGUUCAGGGAGCGGUACUUACCCAGAAAGGGACGGCUAACUCCGUGCCAGCAGCCGCGGUAAUAC